AAUAUUAUCAUCUGCAGGUUGCAAGUUUUUGGGCUUGUUUUCUUAAGUGUAGUUGCUUACUCAGGCUUCCUCUGCUCCCUUUGUGAAGCCCUCCUGAUUCUCUUACAGUUGUCCAUAA